GUCAGACAUAAAGACAUGAACACUGUCAGUUUUAUUUUUCAAUUUCCAAAGAGUGAACAUUUCAUACAUACAUUCUAGUUUACCGUUACUCCUGCAGUCCACUCGUCAAACCCUUAGUCCUCCACUGCAUGGCCAUCUCGCCCUUCUACACUCCUAAAAACUGUGUUCUGCCCCAUUUGGCAUCUUAUUACAGACAGUCAUGCAGAAACUUCAGCAACUUAAAAAUGAAAGAAUCACUAUUGCUUUUGAUAGUUGGUGGCUAGAAAACAUAGAAUCCAGUCUAUGGCCUCUACCUUUCCUCAGCAAAACCAGGUACACCAUUUAACUUUAAAAAAAAAAAAAAAAUAGAAUGUAAUCCUAAUAUGAAAAAUUACUCCCAACAGAAGAGGAACCAUUAUUUGAUUCGGUCAAUAUCUUGAUUAAAUCUGAAGUUAUGACACAGGAGGGGUAGACUAGAUGGAAAGAGCCACUAUGGUAAUUCAUAUUAUACAACCGUUGGUUUAGAAAUCCCUAUUGUGAAGAGAGUCUAGCCUGCCCAUGAUAGACAACAUACACAUGCAGUUAGUUUGAAGUAUUUUCAGUCUGUAGUGAUGGAGCAUCCAUAGCAACCAUUGUUUGCCAUAGUUCUAGAACUUUGCAGGUUGCUUAAAAUUCCAGUCAAUGAGAAUAGAACUAACAACCAAACACCUAAAAAUUGCACUUGACAACGAGUGUUAGUGAAUCUAGCAUCACGGGUUGUUAAAUUAAAAUGGUUUGGGAAAGCAUCUUGCUUUAAGGCUGGUAACCAGUUGUAUAAAAGCAAUAAAUCUGGAGUCCAUGCAUUAUAUAUAUAUAUAUUUUUUAAAAUCAUGGCUGUGGUGGGCUACACCCCUCAGCUUCACCUUGUGGCUCAUUUUACUGAACACAAGUCCUUUACAAUUUGUUCUGACUAUCAAGGUUUUAGUUUAACAUCCCUGUGACAACACCGUAUCCUGAGCCUUUACAGGAGUCUGCAUGGAGGUUAACGUGAGUAUUAUGAUGCUGUAGGAUUCAACCUCCAAGCACCAACCCUGUUACAGGCCAGUGGGGUGAACUCUUUCCCUAGGAUCAGCUCCCCUUUUCCCAAUCCUAAACAUUAGUGUGUGUGUGGGGGGGGGGGGGUGCAAAACUGACCCAUGAUGAGCAUCUAGGGGCAACAUCACAAUACUCAGUCAUUCACAGUCCUGACAACGGGCUCAUGUUGGCGUAUAGCAGAGCCAACACCCAAGCAGUAGUGGAGGGUAUAUGUAGGGCCAAACCAUAAACCCAUUUUUAUGGGCAUUGCCUAUACUCACUUCUUAAAAACCGCCACGAUGCUUAUCAAAGUAGUGGAGGUAUGCGCCGUAUCAAUUAAUAAGGCUGAUAGAUCAGGAUGUUUAGUUUCAUUUUAUUAUUUCGUCACCUUGUCGGUGCGUCAACAUAAACAACGCCGACAUGCAAAGGUUUAAAAAAAAUAAUACAAUUUGCGGGAAAUCACCAAUCUAAAAAUGCUGAUUGCACACGUUUUCAGGGACAGAAAUAUCAGUUCAAAUUAUUAUUAUGAAAUGUAUCAUGGUUGCUAAUAUAAACUUGUCUACUGGACAAACAAAACAAAUCCAAUAGAACCCAAUUAUUUCCAUGUUUCUAUGAGAUUGUGGCUAGAGGCUAGUUUGAGUCAAGGUAAGACACGCCUCGUAAUAUGAAGUAAAAUGUCCAGUCUCCUGGUAGAUGGAAAGACAUGGUUCACAAACAAAACGUCUCAAUUUAAAAACGUUAAGCUAGCUAUGCCUCCCUGGCAGACGGAGAUCAAACCAGUGGCUACAGAAACAUCACUAACCAAACAGUGCUAGGUGCCUGAGCACUUUCAUUAAGAGGUUAGCUACACUCAAAAUCUACAUUUCCAAAAGUAGUCUGAUGUGGUUUAAGCAUUGUUAUGGACUUGGAAAAACUAAAGAAAUUGUUCUAUUAAAAAGGUGCAGGAAGGGAGGGGGUAUAUGAAAUAGUGGGUCUACUAUUAGCUUACUUCCACAGUAAAGCUUAGGUUAGCCUGACUGAAAGACCAAUAUGGGUUUCAUCAAUUUAGGUAAUUCAGAGUGUAGGUCAUCGUUUCUCAUAGAAUUUCACAGGGUGCCUUUCCUUCACUAGGAGGGCAGUUUUGCAAAAUUACAGUAUACCCACUAAAUUCAGACACCACUGCACCAGAGGGAGAAAACUGAAUAAAAAAAAAUCUAAAUCUUAAUUAAAACAAAAAUCCGAGUAGUAAAACAAACAAAAAAUGCUCAGUGAUCAUACAAUUCAUCAUAAAAAAACACAUUUUUAAAAUGUCUCAAUAAAUCGAGGGAAUAAAAGUUUAAAAUCAAACAUUUGAAAAAGUGGUAUAGCAGUGUGAAA